AGCUCAUUCAUUCCACCUGUGCCAACUCAGCAGACCAGCAUGUCUUCAAGAAGUUUAAACUAAUGACCGCCACCUUGGAGCUUGUUUGCACCCUUGGUCGGCAGAGUGAAAUUCACGGUGCCAGUUGAUGAAAUAAAGAAGUUGCACCCGUCAGAGACUCCCUGCAUUUCUUCCGUGAGGCCGAGGGCUGCUACAAAAGGGCACCAGUGUGGGCUGCAGGGUUGUACACACAAACUUGUGGUUGUUAGCAAAAAACACAAAGAAAACAUACACAGGUAAUAGAGAGAGUGAGAAAGCUGUGUGGGCGGUUUACUGGAGAAUAUCUGCUUGAUGUGGAAGCCAGAGGCAGUUGUGCUUCUGGGACUCAGGCUCACUCUCUGGCACAUUGUAAAAUCAGCUGUAGUAGGUGUUGCAGAUCGAGAACGGCUCCUCUCUUUACAUGACUGUCACAACAGGUGGAAGUGCAAACAUACAAGGGAGUUAGAGAGAAGCAGAUAGAAAAUGGAUACCACAAAUGUCUGUGUGUGUUUGUGCUAUUUACCCUAAUACCAAACUCACUGAAAGGACAGAGCAGCAGAGGCCUUCGGUCAGGGAAGAGGUCUGCGAACUCAGAGCGGAAGCGGCCAACCAUGGCCAACAGCUUUCUCUCCUGAGCAGAAUUCUCUUUGUAGGAGGCGGGACACUCAUACAUGCCCAAUCCCUUUAUCCAGCUUAGGUUGGUAGAGUGAGGAAUGAGGAACAAUGCAAUGAGGACAAUUUUGAUUAAUAAAUUAAUCCAUCAUCUCAUCAAUAAAGUAAUC